GACGAACGCUGGCGGCGUGCUUAACACAUGCAAGUCGAGCGAGGCUCUCCCUUCGGGGGGAGUGUCCUACGCGGCGGAACGGGUAGGAGUAACAACGUGGGGCGAACCUACGCCCUCCAGCUCUGGGAGUAACUACCAAGAAAAUUAGGGGUCGUAAUAACCGGAUAUGACUGCUGACCGCAUGGUCUGGUGGUGGAAAG
rnacentral:rRNA from 1 species